rnacentral:pre_miRNA from 1 species
CCUAGCGGUACCAAAGUGCUCAUAGUGCAGGUAGUUUUUAUAUUGCUCUACUGCGGUAUGGGCACUUUCAGUACUCUUGG